GGGGCUGUGGCUCAGUGGCAGAGUGCUUGUCUUGAAUGUGUGAGGCACUGGGUUCAAUCCUCAGCAGCACAU
rfam:Ictidomys tridecemlineatus contig071788, whole genome shotgun sequence.